UACGGGGGGGGCAAGCGUUGUUCGGAAUUACUGGGCGUAAAGGGCUCGUAGGCGGCCAACUAAGUCAGACGUGAAAUCCCUCGGCUUAACCGGGGAACUGCAUCUGAUACUGGAUGGCUUGAGUUCGGGAGAGGAAUGUGGAAUUCCCGGUGUAGUGGUGAAAUGCGUAGAUAUCGGGAAGAACACCUAUGGCGAAGGCAGCUCUCUGGGACGGUACUGACGCUGAGACGCGAAAGCCAGGGGAGCAAACGGG
rnacentral:rRNA from 1 species